UACGUAGGGUGCGAGCGUUGUCCGGAAUUACUGGGCGUAAAGAGCUCGUAGGUGGUUUGUCGCGUUGUUCGUGAAAACUCACAACUCAAUUGUGGGCGUGCGGGCGAUACGGGCAGACUGGAGUACUGCAGGGGAGACUGGAAUUCCUGGUGUAGCGGUGGAAUGCGCAGAUAUCAGGAGGAACACCGGUGGCGAAGGCGGGUCUCUGGGCCUGUACUGACGCUGAGGAGCGAAAGCGUGGGGAGCGAACAGG
rnacentral:rRNA from 1 species